GCUCCCGUGGACCAUGGUGGUCGCCUCGAUUCCGUGUGGGAGGUUGAUGCAAUAGGAAGCGGAGGUUCGAAUCCUCUCGGGGGCA